rnacentral:rRNA from 1 species
UGCCAGCCGCCGCGGUAAUACGGAGGGUGCAAGCGUUAUCCGGAAUCAUUGGGUUUAAAGGGUCCGUAGGCGGGCAUAUAAGUCAGUGGUGAAAGUCUGCAGCUUAACUGUAGAACUGCCAUUGAUACUGUAUGUCUUGAAUUAUUGUGAAGUGGUUAGAAUAUGUAGUGUAGCGGUGAAAUGCUUAGAGAUUACAUAGAAUACCGAUUGCGAAGGCAGAUCACUAACAAUAUAUUGACACUGAGAGACGACAGCUAGGGGAGCAAAUGGGAUUAGAUA